GCGCGCUUAACGCAUGCAAGUCGAGCGAUGAGGUUCCCUUCGGGGAGUACAUCAGCGGCAGACGGGUGAGUAACACGUAGGUAACCUGCCCUCAAGACGGGGAUAACGCCUGGAAACGGGCGCUAAUACCGGAUGACCUUAGUUGGGGAAGAUCCGAUUAAGGAAAGGCUAUGGCGCUUGAGGAGGGGCCUGCGGCCCAUCAGUUAGUUGGUAGGGUAACGGCCUACCAAGGCGAAGACGGGUAGGGGGUGUGAGAGCACGGCCCCCCACACUGGGACUGAGACACGGCCCAGACUCCUACGGGAGGCAGCAGCGGGGAAUAUUGCGCAAUGGACGGAAGUCAGACGCAGCGACGCCGCGUGGGUGAAGAAGGCCUUCGGGUUGUAAAGCCCUUUUCUGAGGGAAGAGAAAGGACGGUACCUUAGGAAUAAGCGUCGGCUAACUACGUGCCAGCAGCCGCGGUAAGACGUAGGACGCGAGCGUUAUCCGGAUUUACUGGGCGUAAAGCGUGUGUAGGCGGCGUGACAAGUUGGGCGUGAAAGCCCCGUGCUCAACGCGGGGAGGCCGCACAAUACUGUCAGGCUAGAGGGCACCAGAGGGGUGUGGAAUUCCCGGAGUAGCGGUAAAAUGCGCAGAUAUCGGGAGGAACACCGGUGGCGAAAGCGGGCACCCUGGGGUGCGCCUGACGCUGAGAGACGACAGCUAGGGGAGCGAACAGGAUUAGAGACCCUGGUAGUCCUAGCCGUAAACGAUGGAUGCUAGGUGUAGGAGUGAAGAGCUUCUGUGCCGCAGCGAACGCGAUAAGCA
rnacentral:rRNA from 1 species